rnacentral:rRNA from 1 species
UACGUAGGGUGCGAGCGUUGUCCGGAAUUAUUGGGCGUAAAGGGCUCGUAGGCGGUUUGUCGCGUCGGGAGUGAAAACUCAGGGCUUAACCCUGAGCCUGCUUCCGAUACGGGCAGACUAGAGGUAUGCAGGGGAGAAUGGAAUUCCUGGUGUAGCGGUGAAAUGCGCAGAUAUCAGGAGGAACACCGGUGGCGAAGGCGGUUCUCUGGGCCGAUAUUGACGCUGAGGAGCGAAAGCGUGGGGAGCGAACAGG